UGUGAUUUAUUUUAUUCUGUGUCGUACAUUUGUGCAGGAUUUCGUGUUUACGACCAAUGACUACAUAUUUACUAACGUUUUUUGUCCUCUAUUUUUCUGGUUACGGUUAUUCUUACCUACCAUCAUCAUCGUAAGAGAGCGUUGUUUUUGUUUUUGGUACCCGGUGAUGAUGUGAUGUGAUGAAAUGCUUGGGACUAUAUCCAAGGUGUCGGGGUAGAAAAGGUACAGUUGAGUAACGGAUCUUGGUUUGGACGGAUCGAGCAGUUGAAAUCAGUUUGUGAAGUGCCUACGUACGAAUAAGUGCACCGAUAAUGGGUAAAGGCAAAGGUGGAGGCGGAGGUGGUGGUGCUGGAGCGAAUCCUGGUGGCAAUCAAAAAGGCGGUGGAGGAGGUAAACCCAAAGGUGGAAAUGAAAAUAAAAGUGCUCCUGGAGGUAAGGCAGGAGACAAGGGAGGAAAAAAGGGUGGCAAUAAAAAGUAAGGACGGAACCGUGGUCAGCUUCAACCCUUUCCCCAAUCAGCACGAGAUACAGAUGAUGCCGUUUCGAAAAAGAUAGAACAAUUGGACUGUGAAAUUUUAGCCUACGGAUUUGUUCCAAUGGCUCGAUUAGCUUAUGAACUUCAAAAGUAUUUAUUUUCUGUGUACUGCUGUGUUAAACGAAUAUGUGUUGUGUAUAUAUCUUCUAAGGUGUAUUUAAAUUAGGUGGAAUAAAAAGACGCAAAUCUGUUUUGCAUACUGACCUUCAUAA